rnacentral:rRNA from 1 species
UACGAUGGGGGCGAGCGUUGUUCGGAUUUACUGGGCGUAAAGGGCGCGCAGGCGGCUCAUUUUGUCAGGCGUGAAAGCCCCGGGCUUAACCUGGGAACUGCGUUUGAUACGGAUGGGCUAGAGUUCGGGAGAGGAGAGUGGAAUUCCCAGUGUAGAGGUGAAAUUCGUAGAUAUUGGGAAGAACACCGGUGGCGAAGGCGGCUCUCUGGACCGAUACUGACGCUGAGGCGCGAAAGCGUGGGGAGCAAACAGG